GUAGAUCGCCACAAUUUGAUCACCGUCGGGAGAGUCUGAUCAUCAUGAUACAGCCACACAGUAUGUCUGGCCUCUACAGAUCAUCCACACGAGGCUCCCGGUCUGAUCAGCUCCUCACGAGUGCUAGCUCGUUGUAGAGCCCUUUCGAUGGUCGAUGUUGAUCGAACUCCUUCGAUCGAUGUCUGUCGAUUCUUUAGAUACUCUGGAUCAUCAGC
rnacentral:lncRNA from 1 species